rnacentral:rRNA from 1 species
UACGUAGGGGCAAGCGUUGUCCGGAAUCAUUGGGCGUAAAGGGCGCGUAGGCGGCCCUUCAAGUCAGGCGUGAAAGCCCCGGGCUCAACCCUGGGGAGGUGCGCUUGGGACUGGAGGGCUGGAGUUCGGGAGAGGAGCGUGGAAUUCCCAGUGUAGAGGUGAAAUUCGUAGAUAUUGGGAAGAACACCGGUGGCGAAGGCGGCACCUGGAC